rnacentral:tRNA from 1 species
GGCCCGUGGUUGUGCCGGAGUGCAUGGCAGCUUCCGAAGCUGUCGGACCGGGUUCGAUUCCUGGACGGGCUACUA